AGAACGAACGCUGGCGGCAGGCCUCAAACAUGCAAGUCUAGGGGGUGUAGCAAUACAUCACCGGCGGACGGGUGCGUAACGCGUGGGAAUAUACCUUUUGGUUCGGAACAACUGAGGAAAACUUCAGCUAAUACCGAAUGUGCCCUAACGGGGAAAGAUUUAUCGCCAAAGGAUUAGCCCGCGUAGGAUUAGCUAGUUGGUGAGGUAAUGGCUCACCAAGGCUCCGAUCCUUAGCUGUUCUGAGAGGAAGAUCAGCCACACUGGGACUGAGACACGGCCCAGACUCCUACGGGAGGCAGCAGUUGGGAAUCUUGGACAAUGGGGAAACCCUGAUCCAGCCAUGCCGCGUGAGUGAUGAAGGCCUUCGGGUUGUAAAACUCUUUCGACGGGGACGAUAUGACGGUACCCGUAGAAGAGCUCCGGCUAACUUCGCGCCAGCAGCCGC
rnacentral:rRNA from 1 species